CAGUAGCCACGGUAAUACAGAGGGUGCGAGCGUUAAUCGGAUUUACUGGGCGUAAAGCGUGCGUAGGCGGCUUCUUAAGUCGGAUGUGAAAUCCCUGAGCUUAACUUAGGAAUUGCAUUCGAUACUGGGAAGCUAGAGUAUGGGAGAGGAUGGUAGAAUUCCAGGUGUAGCGGUGAAAUGCGUAGAGAUCUGGAGGAAUACCGAUGGCGAAGGCAGCCAUCUGGCCUAAUACUGACGCUGAGGUACGAAAGCAUGGGGAGCAAACAGAAUUAGAUACCCCAGAGUCCCUGUCUCUUAUACA
rnacentral:rRNA from 1 species